AUUGAACGCUGGCGGCAGGCCUAACACAUGCAAGUCGAGCGGUAGAGAGGAGCUUGCUUCUCUUGAGAGCGGCGGACGGGUGAGUGAUGCCUAGGAAUCUGCCUGGUAGUGGGGGAUAACGUUCGGAAACGGACGCUAAUACCGCAUACGUCCUACGGGAGCAAGCGGGGGAUCUUCGGACCUCACGCUAUCAGAUGAGCCUAGGUCGGAUUAGCUAGUUGGUGGGGUAAAGGCUCAACAAGGCGACGAUCCGUAACUGGUCUGAGAGGAUGAUCAGGCACACUGGAAAUGAGACACAGUCCAGACUCCUAGGGGAGGGAGCAGUGGGGAAUAUUGGACAAUGGGCGCAAGCCUGAUCCAGCCAUGCCGCGUGUGUGGAGAAGGUCUUCGGAUUGUAAAGCACUUUAAGUUGGGAGGAAGGGCAGUAGCUUAAUACGUUGCUGAUUUGACGUUACCGACAGAAUAAGCACCGGCUAACUCUGUGCCAGCCGCCGCAGUAAUAC
rnacentral:rRNA from 1 species